rnacentral:sRNA from 1 species
AUUCUCUUCUCCAAAUCCUAGAUUUUACAAAGGUUUAACUAAUGUGUUCUACAUAGAAUAAAAACAUUAGAAGUUUCAAAAAUACCAGAAAAAACAUUUACCUUCACUUGCUCUUCAUCUACUUCCGGUGCUUCCAUGAGACGAUCCAAUUCGGCUUCAAUCUCAGCCUCUGUAAGAACCAUUUCUUGAAUUCUUCUUUUCGUAGUAGAACAAGAGAAAAAGAGUUUUGUAUAUAUAUUUUGUUUUUGUUCUUCUUCUUCGUUCUU